CCACAGCACAGAAUCAGAUAAUCAUUCUGCCUAAGAUCCCUGACUGGCCUGGGAUGGAUAGAUAGACUGCCCAGGAUCAUGGCUACCAUGCUACUCUCGUUGCAAAUCACAAACCUGCUGCUCCCUGAGCACAUUGAGAUAUGAGAGAAAAGUGGAUCGAUGACUCAUGCUCAAUCCAAACCGAUCCUUAACCAUGAAUGCUUUGAAAGGUGGGCCAACCGUUACAGAGCCCGGAGCUAUUCUGCAGACUGGUUAUAAAAUACCUACUUUUACCCUUCGUCAAAAUCAGUGAUACCAAGUUUGAAAUCUUCAUAUGAACCUCUUUAACCUCUCCUUUUUCCAACAAUACCAGUAACUAGAGCAUGGCGGCAGACACCGCGAACGAAGCCAACUCCCGGCCCCGGAUACGCGACCUCCUCCCCACCCUCAAAAUCGGCCGGCACCCCGCGGGGCCCCUAAACUCCCUAACGGACGUCCCCGGCGUGCUGGUACACACGGAAUCCAUCAAGCUCCACCCCUCCACAACCCCCGGCAUCCGCCACCCCAUAAACACAGGCGUUACGACCAUCCUCCCCCGCCGCGACUGGUUCGACUGGGCCUGCUACGCGGGGUACUUCCGCUUCAAUGGCUCCGGUGAAAUGACCGGCUCGCACUGGCUGGACGAGACGGGCCUUCUCAACUCGCCCAUCAUCAUCACCAACUCCUUCUCCGUGGGUGCGUGUUACAACGGCGUCUACGAGUAUGCGGUUCGUGAGUAUGCUAAUAAGCGGACCGGGCUGGUGAAUUGGUUUCUCCUGCCGGUCAUCGCGGAGACGUGCGAUUCUCACCUGAACGAUAUUGGGGCUAUGGCUGUUACGCCG
rnacentral:sRNA from 1 species